GCGUAUCCAAUCGCUAGAUCUCGCUCGGCGAAUUCCGACUGGCAUUAGAUUUCGGUCUCCCGUCCCAGCUCCUCGGAUGCUCGGCGUCGGUCUUUCCAAGGCGGUUCUCGCCAUCGUGAGCCUCUUACGAGCUUCUGGCUAGUAUUCAGUGGUAUGCUAUUCACUCAUUUUUUGUACUUCUCCUCCUUGUUGUGGUUGCUGCUUCUGCUAUAUGUUAUUUUCUUGGUUAGAUGUCAUCACUUGGCUUCAGAGGAUCUGUUCGGCUUCAAGAAUUUUAGAUUGAAAGAACUAGGCCUUUAGUUUGAAGCCUGAAGUCGAGUUAUGUUUCAACUGGCGUGUGGAAGAAAGGGGCUGUGGCUUUAAUCUGAUGGAAUCUUUAGGAAUCUGUGAGGAGAACAGGGGCUGGACACCCUGUACUGUUGGCUUGCAAUUAUAAGAUUUUGGUGUCUUCUAAAUUGGAUAUAAGUUGGGUUACAAGGGAGCCGGAAUCAUUAAUGAAAUAUCUUUUUUAGCCGUUUGACAAGUUACCUACUUUUGUACAAAAUCUGGGGGCGUUUUGAUUCUCCUUCUCUUGCAACGCCUUCUCUCGGACCAUGAAGAAAUCUUUUCUUGUUGAACAAAUUAACCACUCAAUGCAAGGAAUUUUGACAGAUGGUACAAAGAAUUCAUCAUUUUAGUUCUGCUGCAGAGAAUCAAUUUUGUUGCAUUUUAAGGUCAAUGGAAAAUAAUCAUUUCUCAUGGUAUCUUGAUAUACAUUUUAAUCAUUUAGCUUUUCAUAUAACUAAUCUGUCCUUCAAGUUUAUCAUCUCUCCCUCACUCUUUCUUUUUAAUUUUUCAUCUUUCUCAUUGUUCUUUAUUCCACAAUCUUUUGAUACCAGGACAUCUACAACCAUGUCCAGAUUUUUGAUAGUUUAUUUCUUCACUUGGAUUAUAAAAUAGUUGGUUGCUUGGAGGUGUGCAUUAUCCAUGAUACAGGACAGGGAAUUAGCAGCGAUGAAGAUGGAAGCGAUAGGGAUGAAGACGCUGAUUCAAGGGGUUGAUCAUGAUGGAAACCCAACCAUGGAGUGCUGGAUUAAGAGUCCUUUUUGCAUUUGAGUUCUGGUUUAGCCAAGUCAAAAGUCCUUCUAAUAUUUUGUUCCUAAAUUAAGUCAGGAUUAGCAUCUUUGUUUGAUUAAGUUUCUGAGUUACGAGUCCUUGUUGGUUUAGCCUUAAGAUUUAGUUUUUCUUUGAGUUCGUUUGCGAUGAGUUACGGUGUGUGCGAUCCUAUAUAAGGAAUCGCAAGGAGGGCUCGUUCCUUCUUCUGCUUGGUCUUUGUUUUUUCAGCCAUCAAUGAAUGAAAAUUAUGCUNNNNNNNNNNNNNNNNNNNNNNNNNNNCAUGCUCUGUUUCUGGUUCAGCAAACAGAGUUUUACUUGAUUUUUGCAGUGUCUAUUUGGUUCUGAGUUUCCCUCAGACCCAGCAGCAUUGUGAACUCCUUUUCUCCACGCUCCAGCCGCAUCAUUUGGUAUCAGAGCGAGGAUUUCCCUGGUUUGAUGGCAAAUGAUAGUGUGGCAAGUGUGCAUCCCAGCGACGGCAAACCUAGAGUGCCCGCUGGGCACCUAUUCGUGGCUUGCAAGGAGUCGUCCGUGACAUCCAACAGGUGCUCCAAGGCAUGCAAAUCGACCCCAACCGGGAGCGCGUGCAGGCUCAUGAGGAUCUCCAUCACGGUCCACCGGCACCGACGUGAGAUCCACCUCACCGGCGUCGCCAACAAGUUCCUCCGGAGUCUUCCAACGAGGAAGAAGAUGACGCGGUCUGUGGGGCAUUUGGUGGACUGCGUCUACACCUAGGUGAAUACGAAUUUGAUGGGAGCGACCGAAUCAGAAGAGCCUUCGAUUGUCGCUUUCCAGAUGGAGGAGCGGCUGACGAAGGAUUUAGCGGGCUACGUCCAUGGAGGAACAGGCCGGAGGCGUUUGACUGCAGGCUUCACGUUGGAGGUGCGGCCUUUGACCGCCGAAUCCCUGUUGAAGAGGGCAUUUUCGAGGAAGCCAACGAGUUACGUGCAUGGAGAGGAGACCCUACAGGCUAUAGGCAUGAAGGGUGCCAAUUUCCAGAGGGAGGAGUGCCCGACGAAGUUCUCGGUGGGUUGCGACCACAGCGGAACAGGGACCAUGCGGGCUUCAGGUGGAACGCAGAACCUGUAGCGUACGGGGUCAAUUGGGGCGCUCGGAACAAGGGCUUCCCUGAUUUCAGACUGAAGGUGGAUCUUCCUACCUUCAGUAGCAAUCUUCACAUUGAGGGAAUUUUGGAUUGGUUGGCCAAAGUAGAAAAAUUCUUCGAUUACAUGGAGAUCCCGGAUCAAAAGAAAGUGAAGUUGGUCACGUACAAAUUGAGAGGUGGAGCAACUGAAUGGUGGGAUCAAUUGCAAUAUAACCGUCUACAGCAAGGGAAGAUGCAGAUCACCACUUGGCGUAAGAUGAAGCAACAUCUAUGCGGCCGUUUCCUCCCGCCUGACUACAAGCAGGCACUCUACCAUUAGUACCAGAAUUUCCGAUAGAGCCCCCGGAUGGUGACCUAUGAAUUCAACCGUCUCAAUGCCUGCAACAACCUGUCGGAAACAGAAAAUCAGCAAGUGGCGAAGUACAUCGGUGGAUUGAAGCCGACAAUUCGAGAUCAUGUGGAUUUAUUUCCGGUGUGGAGCCAGUUGGAAGCCACAAAUUUGGCCCUAAAGCUCGAGGCACAAGCAGCAUGGAAGGCAAACCAGCCCACAAAUCGACAGUUUUCUCGAACUCCCCCAUAGCAAAGCAGAAGGCCGUUGAUGUGGCUGGCACUUCGGGCCAACCGCCACCAAUGUCCACAACCAGAAGAAAUGAAAAUUUCAGCAAAUAGUCGACGGCCCCAAAAGGUAAUAAAAAUCCCCUAUGAAAAGCCAAUGCCUAUAAAAUGUUACAGGUGUUAGGAGGUUGGGCAUCAGUCCAACGAAUGUCCGAAGAGGCGAUCAGUCAACGUGGUCGAAGCUGUGGAAGAAGAAGGGGUGCCUUUUGAGGAGGAAGAACAAGAGGAGGCGCCGACCGACGGCGACAACAUCGUGGUGACAAUGCUUGAUCAGGGGCCUCCAGCUUCUUUCGUGGUUCAAUAUAUCCUGUUUGUCCUAAAGAGUGAAGAAGAGUCGCUACGCCACAAUAUCUUCAAGAUCCGUUGUACCGUCAACAAAAUUGUGUGUAAUGUGAUUAUUGACAGCGGCAGCAACGAGAAUAUUGUUUCUUCCGCAUUGGUUCAUGCGAUGGGAUUGAAGACAGAGAGGCAUCCAUCUCCCUACAAGAUUGGUUGGAUUAAAAAAGGGACGAAAAGGAGAGUGGACAAGAUUUGUAGAGUGCCACUAUCGAUCGGGCAAUACUACAGGGAUGAGGUUUUGUGUGAUGUGGCCGAAAUGGACGCAUACCAUAUUCUACUUGGGCGUCCCUAGCAGCAUGAUACGGAUGUUACAUAUGGGGGUCGAGAUAAUACUUAUUUGUUUCAUUGGCAGGGUAAGACGAUCCUACUAGUGCCAGGUAAUGAAAGCACUACUCCCAAAGCUUCUAAAGUGGAGGGAAAGUCUUUUCUCAUUGUGCCAGAGAAGAUAGAUGAAUUGAUCGAGAAGCAGCUAUAUCCAAACAUUAACUCGAGAAUGAGUUGUUUUCAAGUGGAGGGGACUGAUGCAGGAUAGAGAAUAAGCAGUGAUGAAGAUGGAAGUGAUAGGGAUGAAGAUGCUGAUCCAGGAGGUUGAUCAUGAUGGAAACCCAACCAUGGAGUGCUGGAUUAAGAGUCCUUUUUGCAUUUGAGUUUUGGUUUAGCCAAGUCAAGAGUCCUUCUUAUAUUUUGUUCCUAAAUUAAGUCAGGAUUAGCAUCUUUGUUUGAUUAAGUUUCUGAGUUACGAGUCCUUGUUGGUUUAGCCUUAAGAGUUAGUUUUUCUUUGAGUUGUUUGCGAUGAGUUACAGUGUGUGCGAUCCUAUAUAAGGAAUCGCAAGGAGGGCUUGUUCCUUCUUCUGCUUGGUCUUUGUUUUUUCAGCCGUCAAUGAAUGAAAAUUAUGCUUGAGAGUUGCAGCGUUAAUCUCCUACUUCAUGCUCGGUUUCUGGUUCAGCAAACAGAGUUUUACUUGAUUUUUGCAGUGCCUAUUUGGUUCUGAGUUUCCCUCAGACCCAGCAGCAUUGUGAACUCCUUUAUAUUCUCCACGCUCCAGCCGCAUCAAUCCAUAAUCAAGUUUCGAUCUUGAAGCUUUAAGUAUCUGCGGGAUGUCGUGAAUAAACAGAUGGGCUUGAAAAAUCUAAUCCUGUUUGCACCAUUAUGAAAUUAGAGAAACUCCAAGUGCGCUUUGCAGGAGUGUUUGACAAGAGGAAAAAGAUAAGAGAACCAUAUUUUGAACUUGUUGCACUGAGAGGCUCAUUGCGAUUGAAUUGUAUUUGAGACAACCUGAUCUUUUUCUUAAUAUUCCCUAUCUUGAGAUAUUUUGUUCUGGAUAAAGUAAUUAAAAGGUAUUCUUUUAUUUAUUUAUGUUUAAAUAUUUUUUGCAUAUUGUGAAUGUUGCUUUAUAUUAUUGGGGGUAAAUUUCCAUGUAUUUGGUAGAUGCUGUCGACAUACUUGACAUUAAGGACAGGAGUUGGUGUAACUAUGGGGCAUAUCAUUGAUUAAUUCUCUUUUCUUUUCUUUUCUUUUCUUUUAUUUAAGAAUAAUGCUUUCACCACAACCUUUCUAAGUCUAACCGGAAAAGUAUACUCAGCUCCAGCAACAUGGAGAGAGGUGCCAACUGGUAGACUGGAGAUCCUUUGCACAUAAUCAUUUAUCUGUCAUGAUCUACUCUCUCUCUCUCUCUCUCUCUGACUUCUUGCAUGACAACUUUAUAAGCUUUUGUAAUGCAACUUAAACUCUCACUACAGGAAAAUAGGGUUAUAGCAAUGGCUUUUAUAGUGGCAAAAACAAUUUCCUCUAGAAAAUCAUGCAGACCUAUAGCGGCAAAAGAUGUGGCUACUUAAACUCAUUCUAUUUAACAGAAGCACUUUUUUUGUGUGGAGUCAUAGUACAUAUAUUGCUGCUAAAAAUUCAACUAUGGUGGCUCACAAGCCUACUCUUUUUUCUUUUUGGGCUGCUAAUCUGUCAUGAUAAUUAUUUAGUGUCUAUUUUAUGACUUUCAGCAUAACUUUUAUGUUGCUGAAAGCCUAUAUUAUUAUAGUGUUUAGGAAUUCAACUUUUUUACAUUUAUUUAUUUAAUCCAGCCAUGUGUAUCCUACUUCUUCAAGAUCGGUGUGUUUGUAUCGUGUACGUGUAUAUAUCCUAUGUCCUUGCUUCAUUGUUUAUGACAAUCUAUGCCAUGAAUACCAACAUCUUUCUACCAAAAAUGUUACAAAAUACAAAAGUACUGUGUAUACACUGAUUAACCUGAUCAUUGCUCUCAUGCCUUUGGUGCCAAUUAUCACGCAUGGAAGAAAUGACCUUUAAAGCUUUACCAUGUGAGAGCUACUCGGUGAUCGUCUCUUAUCAAAAGAAAAGUCAAUAGAAAGAUAACUAGCUCCUUGGUUGGACUCAAUGUCAUGCGGCUGUUUCUGCUCUGUUGUAUCACCAAAUACUUGCAUCUCUCUUCCUCCAUCUACUUGUCCUUGUUGCAUGUGGUGGAACGAAGCUCCACUGAUUGUGUGGUGGGAUAGUGAUGGUGUCCCUUCUAGAUCAAACUGUUCAUCAUAUAUAGUAGAUCGCCUCGGGGAAGCUUGGAGGCUGUCCACCUCACUCCUAUAGUGUCGUAAGAGGUGUACUGGUGAUAAGCCAUGGGUUGGGGUUGCUGGCCUACUUGUAGACAAAGGUGUCACACUGCUAGACCGUCGGCUCUCUUUCAAGUGCUUUCUUGCUGUAUCAUGCCAUUUCCUUAGAGCAGUUGCCACUCUCUCACUGAAGAUGGUAGGCUUCAUGUUGGACCCCAUCUGUACGUAAGGAGACACCAUAUAGGAUAAGUAAUUGUUGAUCAGUUGAAGGUUCUUCUAUGUUCUUUAAGUAUGGAAAUGUACCUGCGUUACCAGUGCAUAGAGAGGUAGUGUGACAUAGCUACAUAAUACCUGUAUGAGGACACUGAUAAAACAAUGAGAGUUAGAGUUGUAGAGCUGCUAAUUUGUUGAUUAACUAAUGAUGAGGUUAUAAAAAAUCACCUGACCUCUCUCAGAAGAGAAAAAGAAGGAAAGAUAAAAUCUAUCAUUUGGACAAUUGUAAUGGAAAUUGAUAUAUGAUCUAUUUUGUUGGGUAUAUGUUAACCUAAUAUGCUGUAUUUUUUCCUAUAUGAAAGUUAGAAUGAAGAAUUUACAGGAUGAAAAAUUUUGUUUCUUUAUCUGAAAACAGAAAGAGUAUGAUGAGAAAACCAUUUUGCCAUUCACCAUAAGAAAUUCAGCAAAAGCCUUUCGAUGUGUGAGUGGCUUUUUCAUUAGACUUUACUGCUUUACUCUUGUACAAUUACUUCUAGAGAAAUCUUUAGUAAAUAAUUGAAUUGCGCAAAUUGAUCAGCUAGUUCACUCACAUAUUCUAAAAAUUAUGCAUAACUGUGUUGCUUUAAUAACUCUAUAAAGCUAUCAGAAAUAGAGUAGGAAGACUAACCCCAUGGAGAUUCUGAUGAUGAUGUCUUCUAUAUUCUUGUGGAAGCAUGAAGGGAGGCCAAAUUCGGACUGCAAAUGGUUUACAUCGGAAUGAGCUCUUCUUCUUUAUAGUGUUGUAAAGCUUGUGUGAAAUUUUAAUUUGUUAUUUAGAGGUAUAAAAAGGGAUUGUUUGAAUUUCUAUAUGCAUAGGCAUGCAUGUCUGUGUGUGUAGAGAGAGAGAGAGAGAGAGAGAGAGAGAGUAGNNNNNNNNNNNNNNNNNNNNNNNNNNNNNNNNNNNNUCAUUGUCUUACCCAGCUCCAAGCAAAAAACGCAAGUUGAAAUGCAUUCUGCAAGAAAAACAUGCAAACACUGUUGAUUACAUGCUACAAUUCCUGCUGACUAGUGGAAAUGUUUGAUUAAGGUACAUCAUCUCUUGGAGGUUUCGAUUAUUGGACGUAAGAAAGAAAGGAGCACUGCAUCUUUUAAGUUGCAAUUUGAGAAAAAUUACCUGAAAAAGGACA
rnacentral:lncRNA from 1 species